rnacentral:tRNA from 1 species
UCCCACGAGUUCCUGUAGCUCAGUGGUAGAGCGUCCGACCGGUGUGCGGAAGGUCAUAGGUUCGACUCCUGUUGGGGGAA